CAACAGCCACGGGAAUACGUAGGGUGCAAGCGUUAAUCGGAAUUACUGGGCGUAAAGCGUGCGCAGGCGGUUAUAUAAGACAGAUGUGAAAUCCCCGGGCUCAACCUGGGAACUGCAUUUGUGACUGUAUAGCUAGAGUACGGCAGAGGGGGAUGGAAUUCCGCGUGUAGCAGUGAAAUGCGUAGAUAUGCGGAGGAACACCGAUGGCGAAGGCAAUCCCCUGGGCCUGUACUGACGCUCAUGCACGAAAGCGUGGGGAGCAAACAGGAUUAGAUACCCCGGUAGUCCCUGUCUCUUAUAC
rnacentral:rRNA from 1 species